ACUGGACUUGCUCCCCAAGUUAAAUUGUCUUUCUAUCUCUUACUGUCGAAAUCUCAAAUCACUAUGUGCACAUGAAAAACCUCUCAAUGAUCUCACCUCUCUCCGUUCUCUGGAAAUCCGGUGUUGCUUUAAAUUAGUUUCAUUUCCCAAAGGAGGGUUACCUGCUCCAGUCUUGACGCGACUUGACCUAAUAGAAUGCUGGAAAUUGAAGCAGUUGCCUGAGAGUAUGCAUUCCCUCCUCCCAUCCCUUACCCAUUUGGAAAUAAAUUGUUGUUUUGAAGUUGAGUUGUGUCCAGAAGGGGGUUUCCCCUCCACAUUACAAUCACUUGUGAUUCUUAAUUGCAACAAACUCAUUGCAGGCCGCAUGCAAUGGGGCUUGCAAACGCUCCCUUCUCUUUCACACUUUACAAUUGGUUUGGACGAAAAUGUUGAAUCCUUCCCUGAAGAGAUGCUGCUGCCCUCGAGUCUUACAUCUCUUACCAUCAGCUCCCUAGAACACCUGAAAUCUCUUGACUACAAGGGGCUUCAACACCUCACCUCUCUU